rnacentral:rRNA from 1 species
GGAAUAUUGCGCAAUGGGCGCAAGCCUGACGACGCAACGCCGCGUGGAGGAUGAAGGUCUUCGGAUUGUAAACUCCUGUUGCCCGGGACGAAUGGCUCCAACCUAAUACGUUGGAGUGUGGCGGUACCGGGUGAGGAAUCCCCGGCUAACUCUGUGCCAGCAGCCGCGGUAAUACAGAGGGGGCAAGCGUUGUUCGGAAUUACUGGGCGUAAAGGGCGCGUAGGCGGCCCUCUAAGUCGAACGUGAAAUCCCCGGGCUCAACCCGGGAACUGCGUCCGAGACUGGAGGGCUCGAAUCCGGGAGAGGGAUGUGGAAUUCCAGGUGUAGCGGUGAAAUGCGUAGAUAUCUGGAGGAACACCGGUGGCGAAGGCGGCAUCCUGGACCGGUAUUGACGCUGAGGCGCGAAAGCCAGGGGAGCAAAC